UAACACGUGGAUAACCUACCUAUAAGACUGGGAUAACUUCGGGAAACCGGAGCUAAUACCGGAUAAUAUAUUGAACCGCAUGGUUCAAUAGUGAUAGACGGUUUUGCUGUCGCUUAUAGAUGGAUCCGCGCCGCAUUAGCUAGUUGGUAAGAUAACGGCUUACCAAGGCAACGAUGCGUAGCCGACCUGAGAGGGUGAUCGGCCACACUGGAACUGAGACACGGUCCAG
rnacentral:rRNA from 1 species